rnacentral:rRNA from 1 species
CCUGAUCCAGCCAUGCCGCGUGCGGGAAGAAGGCCUUCGGGUUGUAAACCGCUUUCGGCCGGAACGAAAUCGCCCGGGUGAACAUCCCGGGUGGAUGACGGUACCGGAAGAAGAAGCACCGGCUAACUACGUGCCAGCAGCCGCGGUAAUACGUAGGGUGCGAGCGUUAAUCGGAAUUACUGGGCGUAAAGCGUGCGCAGGCGGUCUCGUAAGACAGGUGUGAAAUCCCCGGGCUCAACCUGGGAACUGCGCUUGUGACUGCGAGGCUGGAGUGCGGAAGAGGGAGGUGGAAUUCCACGUGUAGCAGUGAAAUGCGUAGAGAUGUGGAGGAACACCGAUGGCGAAGGCAGCCUCCUGGUCCAGCACUGACGCUCAUGCACGAAAGCGUGGGGAGCAAACAGGAUUAGAUACCCUGGUAGUCCACGCCCUAAACGAUGACGACUAGUUGUUGGGGUAGAAGUACCUUAGUAACGCAGCUAACGCGUGAAGUCGUCCGCCUGGGGAGUACGGUCGCAAGAUUAAAACUCAAAGGAAUUGACGG